rnacentral:rRNA from 1 species
AACGAACGCUGGCGGCAUGCCUAACACAUGCAAGUCGAACGAAGGCUCCGGCCUUAGUGGCGCACGGGUGCGUAACGCGUGGGAAUCUGCCCCUCGGUUCGGAAUAACAGUUAGAAAUGACUGCUAAUACCGGAUGAUGACUUCGGUCCAAAGAUUUAUCGCCGAGGGAUGAGCCCGCGUAAGAUUAGGUAGUUGGUGGGGUAAAGGCCUACCAAGCCGACGAUCUUUAGCUGGUCUGAGAGGAUGAUCAGCCACACUGGGACUGAGACACGGCCCAGACUCCUACGGGAGGCAGCAGUGGGGAAUAUUGGACAAUGGGCGAAAGCCUGAUCCAGCAAUGCCGCGUGAGUGAUGAAGGCCUUAGGGUUGUAAAGCUCUUUUACCAGGGAUGAUAAUGACAGUACCUGGAGAAUAAGCUCCGGCUAACUCCGUGUCAGCAGCCGCGGUAA